rnacentral:rRNA from 1 species
AGGGUAUGCUUAGUACGGCGAGUGAGCGGCAAAAGCUCAAAUUUGAAAUCUGGUACCUUCGGUGCCCGAGUUGUAAUUUGGAGAGGGCAACUUUGGGGCCGUUCCUUGUCUAUGUUCCUUGGAACAGGACGUCAUAGAGGGUGAGAAUCCCGUGUGGCGAGGAGUGCGGUUCUUUGUAAAGUGCCUUCGAAGAGUCGAGUUGUUUGGGAAUGCAGCUCUAAGUGGGUGGUAAAUUCCAUCUAAAGCUAAAUAUUGGCGAGAGACCGAUAGCGAACAAGUACAGUGAUGGAAAGAUGAAAAGAACUUUGAAAAGAGAGUGAAAAAGUACGUGAAAUUGUUGAAAGGGAAGGGCAUUUGAUCAGACAUGGUGUUUUGUGCCCUCUGCUCCUUGUGGGUAGGGGAAUCUCGCAUUUCACUGGGCCAGCAUCAGUUUUGGUGGCAGGAUAAAUCCAUAGGAAUGUAGCUUGCCUCGGUAAGUAUUAUAGCCUGUGGGAAUACUGCCAGCUGGGACUGAGGACUGCGACGUAAGUCAAGGAUGCUGGCAUAAUGGUUAUAUGCCGCCCGUCUUGA